rnacentral:rRNA from 1 species
UACGAAGGAUCCAAGCGUUGUCCGGAUUUACUGGGUUUAAAGGGAGCGUAGGCGGAUAUAUAAGUCAGUGGUGAAAGCCUUCAGCUUAACUGAAGAAUUGCCAUUGAAACUGUAUGUCUCGAGUAUGGUUGAGGUCACUGGAAUGUAACAUGUAGCGGUGAAAUGCUUAGAUAUGUUACAGAACACCAAUUGCGAAGGCAGGUGACUAAGCCAUAACUGACGCUGAGGCUCGAAAGCGUGGGGAGCAAACAGG